AUUGAACGCUGGCGGCAGGCCUAACACAUGCAAGUCGAGCGGAUGAAGAGAGCUUGCUCUCUGAUUCAGCAGCGGACGGGUGAGUAAUGCCUAGGAAUCUGCCUGGUAGUGGGGGACAACGUUUCGAAAGGAACGCUAAUACCGCAUACGUCCUACGGGAGAAGGUGGGGGAUCUUCGGACCUCACGCUAUCAGAUGAGCCUAGGUACGAUUAGCUAGUUGGUGAGGUAAAGGCUCACCAAGGCGACGAUCGUUAACUGGUCUGAGAGGAUGAUCAGUCAAACUGGAACUGAGACACGGUCCAGACUCCUACGGGAGGCAGCAGUGGGGAAUAUUGGACAAUGGGCGAAAGCCUGAUUCAGCCAUGCCGCGUGUGUGAAGAAGGUCUUCGGAUUGUAAAGCACUUUAAGUUGGGAGGAAGGGCAGUAAGUUAAUACCUUGCUGUUUUGACGUUACCGACAGAAUAAGCACCGGCUAACUUCGUGCCAGCCGCCGCAGUAAAAC
rnacentral:rRNA from 1 species